rnacentral:rRNA from 1 species
GUGCCAGCCGCCGCGGUAAUACUGGCAGCCCGAGUGAUGGCCACUCUUAUUGGGCCUAAAGCGUCCGUAGCCGGCCUCGCAAGUCCGUCGGGAAAUCCAGUAGCUCAACUACUGGGCGUCCGGCGGAAACUACAAGGCUUGGGACCGGGAGGCCUGAGGGGUACGAUCGGGGUAGGAGUGAAAUCCUGUAAUCCCGCUCGGACCGCCGAUGGGGAAACCACCUCAGGAGAACGGAUCCGACAGUGAGGGACGAAAGCCAGGGUCUCGAACCGGAUUAGAAACCCCGGUAGUCC